rnacentral:rRNA from 1 species
AGUGAACGCUGGCGGUAGGCCUAACACAUGCAAGUCGAACGGCAGCACAGUAAGAGCUUGCUCUUACGGGUGGCGAGUGGCGGACGGGUGAGGAAUACAUCGGAAUCUACUUUUUCGUGGGGGAUAACGUAGGGAAACUUACGCUAAUACCGCAUACGACCUACGGGUGAAAGCAGGGGAUCUUCGGACCUUGCGCGAUUGAAUUAGCCGAUGUCGGAUUAGCUAGUUGGCGGGGUAAAGGCCCACCAAGGCGACGAGCCGUAGCUGGUCUGAGAGGAUGAUCAGCCACACUGGAACUGAGACACGGUCCAGACUCCUACGGGAGGCAGCAGUGGGGAAUAUUGGACAAUGGGCGCAAGCCUGAUCCAGCCAUACCGCGUGGGUGAAGAAGGCCUUCGGGUUGUAAAGCCCUUUUGUUGGGAAAGAAAAGCAGCAGGUUAAUACCCCGCUGUUCUGACGGUACCCAAAGAAUAAGCACCGGCUAACUUCGUG